GUCGAACGGUGUCUUCGGACAUAGUGGCGCACGGGUGCGUAACACGUAUGCAACCUACCUUACAUUGGGGGAUAGCCUUUCGAAAGGGAGAUUAAUACCGCAUAAGACAGUAGCUGGGCAUCCAGCAGCUGUUAAAGAUUUAUCGAUGUAAGAUGGGCAUGCGUCCAAUUAGUUAGUUGGCGAGGUAACGGCUCACCAAGACUUUGAUUGGUAGGGGAACUGAGAGGUCAAUCCCCCACACUGGCACUGAGAUACGGGCCAGACUCCUACGGGAGGCAGCAGUAGGGAAUAUUGGGCAAUGGACGCAAGUCUGACCCAGCCAUGCCGCGUGCAGGAUGAAGGCGUUAUGCGUUGUAAACUGCUUUUAUACAGGAAGAAACGACUCUUGCGAGAGGCAUUGACGGUACUGUAUGAAUAAGCACCGGCUAACUCCGUGCCAGCAGCCGCGGUAAUACGGAGGGUGCAAGCGUUGUCCGGAUUUAUUGGGUUUAAAGGGUGCGCAGGUGGUUUAUUAAGUCAGUGGUGAAAGGCGGUCGCUCAACGAUUGCAGUGCCAUUGAAACUGGUAGACUUGAGUAAAGUAGAGGUGGGCGGAAUUGAUAGUGUAGCGGUGAAAUGCAUAGAUAUUAUCAAGAACUCCAAUUGCGUAGGCAGCUCACUUGGCCUUUACUGACACUCAUGCACGAAAGUGUGGGUAUCAAACAGGAUUAGAUACCCUGGUAGUCCACACUGUAAACGAUGAUAACUAGGU
rnacentral:rRNA from 1 species